rnacentral:miRNA from 1 species
CAUCCAUACAUAUGUAUGUAUGUAUACAUACAUACAUAUGUAUGUAUGUAUACAUAUGUAUGUAUGUAUACAUAUGUAUGUAUGUAUACAUAUGUAUGUAUGUAUACAUAUGUAUGUAUGUAUGUAUG